AUUGAACGCUGGCGGAAUGCUUUACACAUGCAAGUCGAACGGUAGAGGGGGCAACCCCUCGAGAGUGGCGAACGGAUGAGUAAUAUAUCGGAACGUGCCCAGUCGUGGGGGAUAACGUAGCGAAAGUUACGCUAAUACCGCAUACGAUCUAUGGAUGAAAGCGGGGGAUCGCAAGACCUCGCGCGAUUGGAGCGGCCGAUAUCAGAUUAGGUAGUUGGUGGGGUAAAGGCCCACCAAGCCAACGAUCUGUAGCUGGUCUGAGGGGACGACCAGCCACACUGGAACUGAGACACGGUCCAGACUCCUACGGGAGGCAGCAGUGGGGAAUUUUGGACAAUGGGCGAAAGCCUGAUCCAGCCAUUCCGCGUGCAGGAUGAAGGCCCUCGGGUUGUAAACUGCUUUUGUACAGAACGAAAAGGUUUCUACUAAUACUAGGAGCUCAUGACGGUACUGUAAGAAUAAGCACCGGCUAACUACGUGCCAGCCGCCGCGGUAA
rnacentral:rRNA from 1 species